GCCCUCAAUUCUGCUUUUGCACUGUUAAAAUGACCAAUGAGGUCUUUAUCAGAGUAAUAAAUGCAAUAAAUAUGUUGCUGUGUGUGUCCUAAAGAAUAGGUUCACAUUUUUAUAGUCUACCUUAAUACUCACAUGUCCACGUUUACAGUACGUUAUUCACUGUAAUCAUUAUUCCUGCCCAUAUAGUCUGUAAAGACGUUACCACAGCGGUCAUUUUUGUAUAAAUUCAUACUAAGGUUUAGCUAUAGCUACUAUGAAUCAUCAGCUAAGCAUCUGCGUUAGACUAUUCAAAAGUGGAUAUCUUCUAAAGGUACACUGUUUUUUAGAGAUUUCUCUUCACAACCAUGGAGGGGGUAAUCAUUACUGUGACCAGUAACUCAAUUAUAAAAGCAAUGUCAAAGCGUACACGUGUAUGUGAGAAUUGUUUUAAGACGCGCUUGAAAUAAUGUUUUUGUGUACUGCAAUGCCUGACCACACAAUAUAAUAGCAUGUGAUGUUAUAUAAAAUACUUUAUGUCCAUUUGUAUGGUCAUAGAUCCUGUAUUCAACUUUUAAAAGUUGAACCUACCGUUUGCCAACUUUAACCUACUUAAUGCUAAAUCCAGAGUUGGAACUUCCUGCCUUAGCUCAAGAAAAUUAAAUAAAGAAUAAUAAUAAAGAUUUGCUAUAAGAAGAGAAUUACAGUGUUUAUAAUGAUCUGCAAAUGAAGAACUAAACUAGGUGGAAGUACUGGCCUAACUGAAUAUUUAAACUCAUUUGCAACUGCUUUUCUUUUCUUUUAGAGCUUCCUGGGAUCGUUGCCUCACUCAAAGAUGGCUUAGAGGCCACGAAGGACCAGCUGGACCCUCACAAGCUCAAUGUGCUCAUAGAUGCUGUGUGAUAAAGCAGUUUCCAAAUCCCAUAGUGUCUACAGUCGCAGAAAAUGCAAAGAGUCCUACUCAAAGAUAACCGACCCUCCACUCCAAGGAUAAGGAUUGUGACAUUUUUCAGUUUCAGUUUGGUUCCACCAUUUGUACUGCAUGCUUGUGACGGAGUACCUUCACUACAGUUGAGUAAGCACUUGGACUGCCAUACCAAUGAGCCUGACUCUUUGGCACUGCUCUCAAAGUUGCACGUUUGGUACCCUGUAGACCUGUGUUUGAAUCUGGGCAGGGUGACUGCUCCCGCCUUUAGCUGCAUAUGGUGUCAGAAGUGGGAUGGCUUGCCGUGAGGUCAUCUGAGCCGUGCCCAGUGACCAAUCCAUAUGAGGGAACCCCAUGGGUAACAUUAAUGAUUGGAUGCGUAUAGUGUUCUUUUCAGUAAUACUGGUCAUAUGUCAUCAUUUCACUGAUUUUUAUUUUUAUUUGAAGGUUUUUUGGUCAAGAAGUGAUGAUGCUGUACCUUUUAAUGUACAAGAAUUUAUUUUUGUAAUGUCCACAAAAUUAAAGUUUUUUAUUUGUC